AGGCCCGUCUUAGAGGGGAUCCCUGGGGGAAAGAGACGAGCAUAGGUUCCUCCCAAGAUGCCACCCGCUUCAUUCAAGUGUCUGGCAGCACUGUGUUCCUGUUAGAGCCACCAGCACAAGCACCAGACGAUGCUGAUCCAGGUGAAGGCCCCAGUGCAGCAGCAACAGCACAUGAUGGCGACGAUGAUGAGGAGGAGACCAUCUCUCUGGAUUCCAGAAGGCAUGAGGACCCAGAUGCUAUACAGUGGGAAAACCAGCCUGGCAACAUAGUGCGUAUUAAUAAAAGGACACCACAUCCUGCCAAAUUCCAGCUGCGCUAAUUGUAUUGUGUUCACAGAGCUCACAAGCUAUCAGAAAGUUGUAUGGCAACCACCUCCGGCGCCAAAUAGAACUGGCAGACAUAGACAUUCAGUACAAGAAGAAAAAGAUGGAAAAUCUUGCACUGGAGUCCGAAAUAAAAAAGAGGACAAUUAGGAAACUGGACCUUGAAAAAAAAAAACUUGAGAGGGAGCUCCAAGAAGAUGACACAGCUCAAAAUAAAAAUUAGCAAUCACUACAACCAAGUCAUCGUUAUAAGGCAUCGCCCUCUUUUGCCCACCCCCCCAGCACCAGGUGUGGCCACUAGCCUAUAUGAAGGCCCAAAAUUGUGUGUUCCUUUCUGCUCUGACAAUGGCAUGCCCAUUCGUGCGAGAUGUUGUGGAUGAAGAAGCACUUGUGCUGAGGAGAGCCUUCAGGCGAGAAAGGGUCUUCAGGGACCGGUUGGACCCACUGGCCUUCCCUGAUGACCAUCUAUAUGAAAGAUACAGGUUUUCUGCAGAUGGCAUCAGGUAUCUAUGCAGACUACUGGGUCCCAGGAUUAAGCACCGCACUGCACGGAGCCAUGCACUGAGUGUGGAGCAAAUGGUUUGUGUGGCCUUGCGCUUUUUGCUAGUGGAGCCUUCCUGUACUCAGUGGGGGAUGCAGAACAGCUGAACAAGGCCACAAUUUGCCGCACAAUAAGGAGUGUGUGUCUGGCUAUCAAAGCAUUAGCAGAUGUCUUCAUCUCCUUCCCUGGCCACAGAAGACUCUGUGACAUCAAAGAGGAGUUCUAUAGGAUUGCAGAUGGUCUGCAAUGCUGACUGUGUGAUCAGCAAUGUUGUGGCAAAGUCCAUGACUCCAGAAUCUUUCGGGCCUCUGAAAUCUAUCACAAGGUGAAUUCUCUGGUGUGUUGCUGGGAGACAGGGGGUAUGGCUGCCAGCCUUUUCUCCUGACACCUUUCACAGACCCCCAGGAAGCACAGCAGGCCUACAACCAUGCCCAUGCCAGGACCAGGGCCAGAGUUGAAAUGACCUUUGGCCUCCUGAAGGCACGCUUUCACUGCCUUCACAAAUUAAGGGUCAGCCCUGUUAGGACAUGUGAUAUUACUGUGGCUUGUGCUGUCCUCCACAAUGUGGCCUGCCUGAGGAAGGAGAGGGCCCCCAGAGUGCCACCAGCCAUGGACUGGGACAAUCCGGCAAUCUUCCCUGAUGACGACAGUGGUCGGCUGCUGAGGGACCAAUAUGUGUUGAAUUAUUUUAGUUAGUAUGUGUGCUUUCAAUUUUGGUUAAAUAUGUCCUGCGGUGGCAGAGGAAUUUGGGUUUUUUUGGGUUCGUUUUUUGACGAAUUUGGCCUCUUAUGAUGUUUGUGCGGUAUACUGUGUGUAAUACAAGGCUGCAGGGAGGCUACUGCAUCCAUUCAUUUGUCUGUUCAGUUGAUGUGUAUGGAUUUGUCCUGCAUUUAUUUUAGUGUGCAGACAUGCAGGGUGUGUUAUAUACAGACCUUUGAAUGUGUAUGUAUCAUUUUGUAUAAUAUGCUUGGAUUCUGUGCUUUCCAUCUUGUAGAGUCACUGUGACUUCAGUUUCGAAAGGAGCUGAUGGUUUACCUGCUUUGUUUUGUCCUUAUUCAAUAAAGGAACAUAAUGUUACACAUUGUGUU